rnacentral:rRNA from 1 species
GAUGAACGCUGGCGGCGUGCCUAAUACAUGCAAGUCGAGCGAACGGACGAGAAGCUUGCUUCUCUGAUGUUAGCGGCGGACGGGUGAGUAACACGUGGAUAACCUACCUAUAAGACUGGGAUAACUUCGGAAAACCGGAGCUAAUACCGGAUAAUAUUUUGAACCGCAUGGUUCAAAAGUGAAAGACGGUCUUGCUGUCACUUAUAGAUGGAUCCGCGCUGCAUUAGCUAGUUGGUAAGGUAACGGCUUACCAAGGCAACGAUGCAUAGCCGACCUGAGAGGGUGAUCGGCCACACUGGAACUGAGACACGGUCCAGACUCCUACGGGAGGCAGCAGUAGGGAAUCUUCCGCAAUGGGCGAAAGCCUGACGGAGCAACGCCGCGUGAGUGAUGAAGGUCUUCGGAUCGUAAAACUCUGUUAUUAGGGAAGAACAUAUGUGUAAGUAACUGUGCACAUCUCGACGGUACCUAAUCAGAAAGCCACGGCUAACUACGUG